rnacentral:rRNA from 1 species
AUGGCCCUUGCUGUGGCGGCGCAUCAGCUGCCAGUACCCGAUGACAUCCUGGCAUGCGUCCUCCGCCGCCUCGCGCUGCGCAGCCUCGCUGCGUCCCGUUGCGUCUGCAAAAGCUGGCGCGCUGUCAUCGACGACCGCCGCCUGCUGUGGGCAGACCUCCUCCCGCUCUCGCUCCAUGGGAUCUUCUUCAUGGAGCAGCUCAACCCGACUCCCCCGAAAUUCUUCGGGAGCCCGUUGAUACAGCGCAAGAUCGCCGCCAAGCUUGACUACUUGGACACGGACUUUUUCGGCCAUUUGUCCAUCAAGGACCACUGCAACGGCCUACUCUUGCUUUGGGAUCAGCUCGUCGUUAAUCCGGCGACACGGCAAUGGGCGCGCCUGCCCCCUCCACCUCCCCAUGCACCGGGAUGGAGGACUUAG